rnacentral:rRNA from 1 species
CCUACGGGAGGCAGCAGUGGGGAAUAUUGCACAAUGGGGGGAACCCUGAUGCAGCGACGCCGCGUGAGUGAAGAAGUAUUUCGGUAUGUAAAGCUCUAUCAGCAGGGGAGAAAAUGACGGUACCUGACUAAGAAGCCACGGCUAACUACGGUCCAGCAGCCGCGGUAAUACGAAGGGGGCAAGGGUUAUCCGGAUUUACUGGGGGUAAAGGGAGCGUAGACGGUUAUGAGAGGCUGGAGGGAAAGCCCAAGGCUCAACCAUGGGACUGCAUUGGAAACUGUAAAACUGGAGUGCAGGAGGGGUAGGCGGAAUUCCUGGUGUAGCGGUGAAAUGCGUAGAUAUUAGGAGGAACCCCAGUGGCGAAGGCGGCUUACUGGACUGUCACUGACGUUGAGGCUCGAAGGCGUGGGGAGCAAACAGGAUUAGAUACCCUAGUAGUC